rnacentral:rRNA from 1 species
UGCGUAGGCGGGAUCUUAAGUCAGAGGUGAAAGCCUGGAGCUCAACUCCAGAACUGCCUUUGAUACUGGGAUUCUUGAGUUCGGAAGAGGUGAGUGGAACUGCGAGUGUAGAGGUGAAAUUCGUAGAUAUUCGCAAGAACACCAGUGGCGAAGGCGGCUCACUGGUCCGAUACUGACGCUGAGGCACGAAAAGCGUGGGGAGCAAACA